CUUGAAGCUGCUUCCGCAGUUGUCAUCUCUACGUCAAAGAAUGCAAUGUCUUGCCUGAGAACAGCUUCGAGGUAUAACGAUCGCAACCGUGUCGCCUGCCUUUCUCCAGCUACUGUCCAACAUGACACCUCUGGAGCAGGGUCGUUCUCUACUUGGUUCAAGUAGUAAGUAGAAUGUUUGCCGCAUGAUGAAGCACCGAAGUUGUGAAACUUUGGUACUAAUGUGAAUAACAGAAAAUGUCGGAAUCUUAGCAAAUACCCCAAAUUGUGACCGUAUUCAAGCCAUGCAUCCAAUCGGUAGUGCCCAGUUUCAGUUUGUUCUCUAGGGAACUUUGUGAAUGAGCUACAAUAACGAAAGUUUCCGUUUUCUUUGUUUUAGCUUUCACUACUUCUAUGACCCAACAAGAACUCCAGCUGUUCCAACUCAUAUCUACAUUUUUUUUUGGAGCAAACUCCUACCUACUAUUUAGUUAUUGGGCAUCAUCAUUCGUUCA